UCUAUUAUGGCAGAUUAGUGCAAUGAAUUUAAGAUUCAUAUAUAAAAUUAAAAAUUUUUGUUAGAA
rnacentral:tRNA from 1 species